rnacentral:lncRNA from 1 species
GGAGUAGGCCGAGUAGAACGAGUUGGCGGGGGAGGAGGAGGUGGCGGAGGUGGUGGUGGAGGGCGUUUAGUUGUCGGAGGAGGCGGAGGAGGCGGAGGAGGUGGCGGUGGUGGUGGAGGGCGUUUAGUUGUUGUAGGUGGCGAAGGAGGAGGUGGUGGAGGACGUUUAGUUGUCGGAGGAGGUGGCGGAAGGCGUUUAGUUGUCGGACGAGGUGGUGGAGGGCGUUUAGUUGUCGCAGGAGGCGGAGGAGGAGGUGGUGGAGGGCGUUUAGUUGUCGGAGGAGGUGGCGGAGGGCGUCUAGUUGUCGGAGGAGAAGGAGGAGGCGGAGGAGGAGGUGGUGGACGGCGUU